GGGUGAGGCCCAGAACAGGCCAAAGACCACCCGAACCAGAUGAUUUGGCCAUUAACGGAGGUUGGAGGAAGAGGGGGGACCUCUAAAGUACCUCCCCCCCCACAGCCUCAGAGAACACCCCCUGGAGGAGAUGACAACUGCAGAAUCCUGGAAGUCAUCAAAGGGACAUUUUAAUAUACUGAGACAAAAGAGAUUUUCAAAUAGCGUUUGCAAGAAGCACAGCUGUUCUGUCAUUGUUCUAGCUUCCAUUUCUCUACUUCCAAGGCUCCUGGCUCUGCCAUUUGCCAUGGAGAACAGAAGAAAACUAAUCAAACUACAAAAGAGGACCCUGAAGACCCUAUUUUCCCAGGCCUGAGGACCCUAUUUUCCCAGGCCUUCAACUGAG